rnacentral:rRNA from 1 species
GACGAACGCUGGCGGCGUGCUUAACACAUGCAAGUCGAACGGAAAGGCCCUGCUUUUGUGGGGUGCUCGAGUGGCGAACGGGUGAGUAACACGUGAGUAACCUGCCCUUGACUUUGGGAUAACUUCAGGAAACUGGGGCUAAUACCGGAUAGGAGCUCCUACUGCAUGGUGGGGGUUGGAAAGUUUCGGCGGUUGGGGAUGGACUCGCGGCUUAUCAGCUUGUUGGUGGGGUAGUGGCUUACCAAGGCUUUGACGGGUAGCCGGCCUGAGAGGGUGACCGGCCACAUUGGGACUGAGAUACGGCCCAGACUCCUACGGGAGGCAGCAGUGGGGAAUAUUGCACAAUGGGCGGAAGCCUGAUGCAGCAACGCCGCGUGCGGGAUGACGGCCUUCGGGUUGUAAACCGCUUUCGCCUGUGACGAAGCGUGAGUGACGGUAAUGGGUAAAGAAGCACCGGCUAACUACGUGCCAGCAGCCGCGGUGAUACGUAGGGUGCGAGCGUUGUCCGGAUUUAUUGGGCGUAAAGGGCUCGUAGGUGGUUGAUCGCGUCGGAAGUGUAAUCUUGGGGCUUAACCCUGAGCGUGCUUUCGAUACGGGUUGACUUGAGGAAGGUAGGGGAGAAUGGAAUUCCUGGUGGAGCGGUGGAAUGCGCAGAUAUCAGGAGGAACACCAGUGGCGAAGGCGGUUCUCUGGGCCUUUCCUGACGCUGAGGAGCGAAAGCGUGGGGAGCGAACAGGCUUAGAUACCCUGGUAGUCCACGCUGUAAACGGUGGGUACUAGGUGUGGGGUCCAUUCCACGGGUUCCGUGCCGUAGCUAACGCUUUAAGUACCCCGCCUGGGGAGUACGGCCGCAAGGCUAAAACUCAAAGGAAUUGACGGGGCCCCGCACAAGCGGCGGAGCAUGCGGAUUAAUUCGAUGCAACGCGUAGAACCUUACCUGGGUUUGACAUGGAUCGGGAGUGCUCAGAGAUGGGUGUGCCUCUUUUGGGGUCGGUUCACAGGUGGUGCAUGGCUGCCGUCAGCUCGUGUCGUGAGAUGUUGGGUUAAGUCCCGCAACGAGCGCAACCCUUGUUCACUGUUGCCAGCACGUUAUGGUGGGGACUCAGUGGAGACCGCCGGGGUCAACUCGGAGGAAGGUGGGGAUGACGUCAAGUCAUCAUGCCCCUUAUGUCCAGGGCUUCACGCAUGCUACAAUGGCUGGUACAGAGAGUGGCGAGCCUGUGAGGGUGAGCGAAUCUCGGAAAGCCGGUCUCAGCUCGGAUUGGGGUCUGCAACUCGACCUCAUGAAGUCGGAGUCGCUAGUAAUCGCAGAUCAGCAACGCUGCGGUGAAUACGUUCCCGGGGCU